rnacentral:rRNA from 1 species
AUUGAACGCUGGCGGCGUGCCUUACACAUGCAAGUCGAACGGCAGCACGGGAGCAAUCCUGGUGGCGAGUGGCGAACGGGUGAGUAAAGUAUCGGAACGUGCCCAGUCGCGGGGGAUAACGUAGCGAAAGUUACGCUAAUACCGCAUACGAACUAUGGAUGAAAGCGGGGGAUCGCAAGACCUCGCGCGAUUGGAGCGGCCGAUAUCAGAUUAGGUAGUUGGUUGGGUAAAGGCCCACCAAGCCGACGAUCUGUAGCUGGUCUGAGAGGACGACCAGCCACACUGGGACUGAGACACGGCCCAGACUCCUACGGGAGGCAGCAGUGGGGAAUUUUGGACAAUGGGCGAAAGCCUGAUCCAGCCAUGCCGCGUGCAGGAUGAAGGCCUUCGGGUUGUAAACUGCUUUUGUACGGAACGAAAAGGACUGCCCUAAUACGGUGGUCCCAUGACGGUACCGUAAGAAUAAGCACCGGCUAACUACGUGCCAGCCGCCGCAGUAA